GUGCUGGAUUUGAGUCACCGAGCGUGUGUACCAAAAUUGGAAUGAUGCAGAAAAGACUAGCAUCGCCCCCGUACAAGGAUAACACGCACAUUCCAAGGUCACAUGAUUAU
rnacentral:snRNA from 1 species